UUAAGAAAUUCAUAUGUUUAAGACGUACGUUGCAAUUUAAGUGGCCGAAGUCAUAAAACGUCGAACGAAAAAGUAAUAAAGCAAAUUUCGGUUUGUCUGUCGAUAUCCCCCUAGUCACAGAUCCACGCGUCGAUUUGCCCAUCCAUACCAGCAAAAAAAAAAAAAAAAAAGAGGAAAAAAAACUAAUUCACUUCCCCACUCUCACUCUCGCGAAUACGCUUCACUUCACCAAUCAAGUCGCAACGUUUAACAAAUAUCUCAGCGUGAAGAACACGCGCCGCAACCUUUGCAACAUCGUCCAAUCCCUUUCCAACCCAAUAUACAUGUUACGGGCAAAUAGUAUCGCAACACGUGUGCAUAUUCUCGAACGGCCUUUUCUUCCACUUCGGUUGGAGGGAAAUUAUGCUUCGUCCUGCUACAAGCCCACGUGUCCCUCUUUUCCAGGAGUGGUGGACACCAUGGCGUAACUGAUUGGUUGGGUGUGGGCCCAGUUAACAGACUCGAUUCAUAAUCUAGAUACGCAAAAAGCUUUUGGGUGGGACCCAAUUAAAUAUGAAAUUUAACCAAUCAGGAUAGAACACUGUCUCAGUGUUGCCCUAGACACGUGGUGACCUCACACCAAGCCACCGCGCUCCCGCUAUGAUUAUCGCUCUCCGGGUAGGGAAGAGAUAGAGAGAGAGAGAAAGAGAGAGAGAGAGAGAGAGAGAGAGAGAGAGAGAAGGGAGGGGGAGGAGGAGGAGACUGCCGACGGGAAAGUAAGACGAAAGGAGGUGAUUUGAUGGACGGUGGAGAUGGGUGGCACAUGGCGAGCUGUCAUCAGAGCUCGCAGAAGAUGAUAAUGAAUCGGGUUAUGACGCUCAGAUUCCGUCCGAUCGCGCCGAAACCGGCGACUGGAGGAGCUUUUCCGGGAGGAAUUUCGCCGGAGAAGCACAGGGUUUUGCCUCCGGGGAAAAGAGUGAAGAGAAAGUACGUUAGGGUUCGAAAGGACGAUAAUAGCCCUAGGAGAAGAAACAGAUCUUCCGAGAAGAACAGAAACUCGGGUUUAGGCUCGACCAGUAAAGCAACGGCGACGCUUCAACUGAUGCCAGAGAAAUCGGACGGCUACGGUUCACCGGGAGGAGGAUCCUGGUCCGUUAUCGACCGUAAAGUAUCGGAAAUCUCGGUUUUGGAAAGUCGGGACCCACCGGCGAGAACGAACGGCAGCGACGGAGCCGGAGAGGCACCGGAUCGGACUGUGGUGGGCCCAUCUAGAUCUGAGAAAGUGUUGGUGGAGUCGUGGGUGACGGUGGAGUUCGCGACAGACAUGUGCAUGGACGUACGAGGGCUAGGGUGUACGGACGUGGAGAGAAUCAAGAACUUAGAGAGGGACACGUGUCCAGGGUUCGUAUCAGACGGUUUUCUGAGCAGAGUAGAGUGGGUGAACGAGGCGUACAGAAGGAUGGUGGCGGAGAGCAACCGAGAGGUCAACGGCGGCGGACGGUGGCCGGAGGUGGUGGUUUGGCUGGUUUCGAAGGCGAGUGAUAAUAAUAAUUAUUAUUAUUAUACAAGGUGUGUGCAAGGAGCGGGGUUCACGUGUCGUGCGAGGGUACAGUAUAUGAGGAAUAUGAAGGAAAAAUGUUGGAAGAUAAUGCCUUGUGAUGUUUGGAGAUUGGAUUGUGGUGGGUUUGCAUGGAGGCUGGACGUUAAUGCUGCUCUCAGUUUGGGACUUUGAUAAUGGCGGUCGACGAUAUUAUCAGGUUUUCUCUAAGAGAAAGACUGGAAUAUGAGGAUAUGGAGGAGCAGUACUACUUCAUCAAGAGUCUUGUAAGUGUAUAUAUAUAUAUAUUUAUAUAUUUAUAUCUAUAUAUAAUAAGUAAUGCAUUUGAAGUAUCUAGCUGGAUCGUGAAUGCGUACAACCAGAUCAAGCAGAAUACAUCAGGCUUGAAAUUACCAAGUUUGUGCAAACGAAUAUCAAUAAACUUGGCCUGCGAAAGUUGGAAGUUUUCAAUCAAUAUGGCUGCAGUGUAAAACAAGUACUGCAUCUUAACGGGUUUAGGUGUGGCUGCAUCGACGACAAACAUCGAGGAGAGGAGAGGGGAGGGCGCAUGGGCGCUGAGACGACAAUUAUCAGGAAGGAGAAGAUGGGACGCUCUUAGGCGUAGAGACGACGAUUGUCAGGAGGGAGAAGAGGGCGCAGAGGCACGGAGAAGGCACAUGAUGAGUGCAGAGAAGGACGAGAGCACAUGAGGACUGUUGGAGGAGCAUUGCCUGGAGAAUGGAGGCACAAUGCUUAAGUUUGGAGGCACAUUGCCUAGAGAUUAGAGGCGCAUUGUUUAGGGAUUAGAGGCGCAUUACCUAGGGAUUGGAAGCGCAUAACCUGAGGAUUGGAGGCGCAUUGCCUGAGAUAUGGAAGGGUAAAUGAAGGCACAUUGUCUAAGAUAAUUUUAAGAGGAUUAGAGACUGUGUAUAAAAUUAUGAUACCAUAAUAGAUUUAAACUUUGA